rnacentral:lncRNA from 1 species
GUUAUUACAGCACUUUUCAGAUUCUUGAUUUCUGUGCAUUUGCUGCAGAGCUUUUGUGGAGCAGGUGAUGGCGGCGUUUGUGAAAAAAAGGGAAAACCUGAAACAAAAUCAUUAUGUUAAAAUGACUGCUUGUGUAUUGUGUUUGUGCAUUUUUGCAGGAUCUGAAAUGUCUGCAGACUGGUGUGAGCUGUGAGGAUGGAGGAGUCCACAGCAGCAUCCUGGAAAUGGUCCAGUGUCAUGGAUGAGACGCUCUAUCACUCCACCUCUUACUGCCUCAUCUGGACCAGAUGUUGCUGUGGUCUCUUCAUCCUCAGUGACCCCAGAGCCAGCGAGAGCAUCUAGAGAAAAACCAAAAGACACUGAGGAUGUGAGUUUGGUCAAGUUUGUCCUGCUGGCUUGUUCAUACAACAUCAGUCAAUGGAGCCCACACUUCAAAAGCAUAAUCAAAUAAAGUCAUGAAGCUUCUGAAAGUCAGGCUCCAUUCACUGAUACUGUAUGAACACAAACCAGCAGAACAAACUUAACCAAAAUCACCUUUUGUGUUCAGAAAAAACCACAAGGAUUGAACAGCGUUGAGGCAAGUAAAUAAUGACUGAAUUUAUAUGUUUGGAUGAACUAACCCUUUAAACCCUCCAAAUAGAAAUUGUAUGAAAUAUAUGCAUGCAUUUAUAUUAUAGUAGUACCGUGAAGAAAUAAACUUGAAGAAAUAAGCAGCUUUAUUGAGUGUUUGUGCCCAAGACACAAAAAAGCAUUUACAAAAAUCACAUUUACAUUUCUGCAUUUGUCACACUUUUAUCCGACAGUGCUCUUAUUACAGGGACCCCAAUCCCUCAGCAGCCACCCGGAGUAAAGCCAGCGGUGGUGACGACUGCAGAGAUCGAACCAGCAACCUUCUGCUGCCCAGCUCACUACACCACAGAAGUGUUACAGCUAGUCGUGCUCAUGGAGAGCAGCACACAGAUGUUUGGAGCAGACAGCAGCAGUCAGAUUGUCCCGCACAUGUUCAGGGUUGUGUGUUUCAGGAGCAUCAUCAUGGUCUUCCUCAUCCUCUCCGUGCACUCAGACAAAGACAGCCUCGAUGUCCCUUUCUCAUCCAUGAUCAGAUUCAGUCUGACUGCAGCAGUGAGGGUCGUGAUGGAUGACAGAGACAGCUGAAGGUGGACACGGUGGUCAGCUGCAGAACUGUCUCCGCUGUGUUGAGAUGCAGUAGAUGUGGGCUCACCGUCUGUAAAUACAUGAUUGUUAGAACAAUGUUUGAAUAAAGCUUUGUUUCAUGUGUCGAUGACUUGUAUUUAUUUAUUGUCAUGGUUACUUUUAUUCUUUUACUCAUAUAUUCAUAUUUCCUGUUGUUGUCGUCAGUAAAUAAAAUAUAAUUGUUUCAUUAACUUGUUCAUUACUUGACUGAAAAUUGUGAAGUAUUCAC